AGUGAACGCUGGCGGUAGGCCUAACACAUGCAAGUCGAACGGCAGCACAGUAAGAGCUUGCUCUUACGGGUGGCGAGUGGCGGACGGGUGAGGAAUACAUCGGAAUCUACUUUUUCGUGGGGGAUAACGUAGGGAAACUUACGCUAAUACCGCAUACGACCUACGGGUGAAAGCAGGGGAUCUUCGGACCUUGCGCGAUUGAAUGAGCCGAUGUCGGAUUAGCUAGUUGGCGGGGUAAAGGCCCACCAAGGCGACGAUCCGUAGCUGGUCUGAGAGGAUGGAUCAGCAACACUGGAACGAGGACACGGUCCAGACUCCUACGGGAGGCAGAAGUGGGGAAUAUUGGACAAUGGGCGCAAGCCUGAUCCAGCCAUACCGCGUGGGUGAAGAAGGCCUUCGGGUUGUAAAGCCCUUUUGUUGGGAAAGAAAAGCAGCAGGUUAAUACCCCGCUGUUCGGACGGUACCCAAAGAAUAAGCACCGGCUAACUUCGU
rnacentral:rRNA from 1 species